rnacentral:rRNA from 1 species
AUGUCGCUUGAGAUCUACCUGGUUGGCAACUACUCGCAUGACAUUGGCCCAUUGGUCCGUGACGCCAUCGACAACGGCAUGAUAAAAGAACUGGACCUAACCAUUGCGGACGACAAGGAUUACAAUUGCAAAGGUGUGGAUAUGCUACAGAAAGCACAGGAUGUAGACGGGUUCUUCAGCGCCUAUCCUAAUAUACUUCCUUGCCUCACAAGGCUCCAGCUUUACAACCUGCGCUUUGCUGAGGGAGAUAUACAUCACAUCCUAUUUGAUUGCUGCAAGCAGCUGCAGCACCUUAGUCUGGAACACUGUGAUGUUGGCGACUGCUCGGUGUGGCAGGUAGACGCGCCGAAUUCGGUCCUCAGGGUUCUUGAAAUCCGCUAUUCGUACUUGAAGAGGCUCAAGGUGCUCUGCCUUCCCAAACUAGAGCUGCUCAGUUGGGAGGCGUGGGUGCACUGUGAGCCCCCCUUGCAUUUUGGUUAUGUCCCGUCUCUUAAGGAGUUAAUCCUCUUAUGUGCUGCAAAGCUUGAUCACCCGGAGUUUAGUUUAAGCCAGCUUCUAGAUGGUGCCACAGAAAUCAAUACCCUGACCUUAAACUUCCAAGGAGAAAAGCUUUGGAUCCAACCGGAAAGCAGGCAACUCCGUGCCGCAUUCAGCAAGCUAAGGAAGCUGUCUAUUCAUGGCAUAUAUGUUGAGUUUGACCUGUUAUGGACAAUAAAUCUCCUUGAAGCUGCUCCAACCGUUGAGAUAUUUGAUAUUGAGGUGUAUGAACAUCCAUGUAUGGUACCAUAUUGGGUGCGCGUUGGCGUUCAAAGAGUGCAACCUUCAUGGAAGACGCCUGGGUUUACAAGCUGUAAGAAGUGGCAACUGAGAGAGCUCUAUGUUACCAACUUUAGUUCCCUCGUGGGGCAACAUGUGUUAUUUGUACGCGAGGUGAUGGAUCAAGCGCCAAACUUGAAAACUGUUAUUUUGAAGGAAGAUGAAGAAGCAUGCAAGGAUUGUGAGGCAAUGGGCGCACUGCCUACUCCGGUAGGAGGCUUGUUUCCGAGGACCAAAAAGGAGCAAGAAACAAUAGCCCAGCAACUUAGGGACAACAUGGUCAGCUCGUCCUCGGCACAGAUAAUUUUCAAAAGUAUUGUUUCAACGGUGGUAUUCUGA